CCUACGGGAGGCAGCAGUGGGGAAUCUUGCGCAAUGGGCGAAAGCCUGACGCAGCCAUGCCGCGUGAAUGAUGAAGGUCUUAGGAUUGUAAAAUUCUUUCACCGGGGACGAUAAUGACGGUACCCGGAGAAGAAGCCCCGGCUAACUUCGUGCCAGCAGCCGCGGUAAUGCGAAGGGGGCUAGCGUUGCUCGGAAUUACUGGGCGUAAAGGGAGCGUAGGCGGAUAGUUUAGUCAGAGGUGAAAGCCCAGGGCUCAACCUUGGAAUUGCCUUUGAUACUGGCUAUCUUGAGUACGGAAGAGGUAUGUGGAACUCCGAGUGUAGAGGUGAAAUUCGUAGAUAUUCGGAAGAACACCAGUGGCGAAGGCGACAUACUGGUCCGUUACUGACGCUGAGGCUCGAAAGCGUGGGGAGCAAACAGGAUUAGAUACCCUGGUAGUCCACGCUGUAAACGAUGAGUGCUAGUUGUCGGCAUGCAUGCAUGUCGGUGACGCAGCUAACGCAUUAAGCACUCCGCCUGGGGAGUACGGUCGCAAGAUUAAAACUCAAAGGAAUUGACGG
rnacentral:rRNA from 1 species